rnacentral:rRNA from 1 species
UGGUGGAGUGAUUUGUCUGGUUAAUUCCGAUAACGAACGAGACCCCGUCCUACUUACUAGACCGAGGAUCCUCUCGUUCUCGCUGUCUUCUUAGAGGGACAACUGCUUGUACCUUGAACUACAUGAAAUGGGGCAAUAACA